AGAGUUUGAUCCUGGCUCAGGACGAACGCUGGCGGCGUGCUUAACACAUGCAAGUCAAGGGGGCCCGCAAGGGCAACCGGCGAACGGGUGCGUAACACGUGAGCAACCUACCGAUUUGUGGGGGAUAGCUGUCCUAACGGGCAGGUAAUACCGCAUACGCUCUUUUGGUCUCAUGACUGACUGAGGAAACUUUCGAGGCAAAUCGAGGGGCUCGCGGCCUAUCAGCUAGUUGGCGAGGUCACGGCUCACCAAGGCGACGACGGGUAGCUGGUCUGAGAGGAUGGCCAGCCACAUUGGGACUGAGAAACGGCCCAGACUCCUACGGGAGGCAGCAGUGGGGAAUCUUGCGCAAUGGGCGAAAGCCUGACGCAGCGACGCCGCGUGGGGGAUGACGGGUUUCGGCUUGUAAACCCCUGUUGCCCGGGACGAACUUCUCCUUUCGAGGAGAUUGACGGUACCGGGUGAGGAAGCACCGGCUAACUCUGUGCCAGCAGCCGCGGUAAUACGUAGGGUGCAAGCGUUGUUCGGAAUUACUGGGCGUAAAGGGCUCGUAGGCGGCCAACUAAGUCAGACGUGAAAUCCCUCGGCUUAACCGGGGAACUGCGUCUGAUACUGGAUGGCUUGAGAUUGGGAGAGGGAUGCGGAAUUCCAGGUGUAGCGGUGAAAUGCGUAGAUAUCUGGAGGAACACCGGUGGCGAAGGCGGCAUCCUGGACCAACACUG
rnacentral:rRNA from 1 species